ACACAAAGGAGAGCGACUACACAAAAGAAAAAUAAACCUGUAAAUUACGUGGAAAUUAAAAUUCACUGGUGUCAAAAUGUAUUGGUUCAAAAUUUAAGAAGUAUUUCCACUAUUCAGAAUCAAAUUCCAAGUACAUUCUGUUGGCGUCUCGGUCUGGAGAGUAGUAACCCACUAUCAAAGCAUCAACCUGAAAACCAAGCUUCUUGUAUAAACUCAUUGCUGGAGUCCUCAAGGGAUCAACAUGUAGUGAUAUGCGAUGGACCUUUCUUGAUCUGCAUUUCUGAAUUGCUGCUUUCAGCAAUGCCUCUCCAUGGCCUUGCCUCCUGUAAUUCUCCUUCACUGCAAGCUUAGCGAUAGAAGCAAACAAAGAAGAAGGCCAAGAAUACAUGACAUAGCCAACGACUUCACCGUCCAACUCCACGUAAAUCAACCCAGAAUUCUUCUUUUUCAGUUCUUCGGCAAAGGACGAAGCAAGUGAUUCGUGUUUGGGAAAGAUCUUUCUCUCCAUUUUCACAAUUUCUCCCACAGCCUUAGCCCAGUUGGUUGAGUUUCUUUGCAGUUCGACGACCCCACUUCCCAUUGCUGAUGUGCGAGCUUUCUGUUG
rnacentral:misc_RNA from 1 species